CAGUAGCCGCGGUAAUACAGAGGGUGCGAGCGUUAAUCGGAUUUACUGGGCGUAAAGCGUGCGUAGGCGGCUUCUUAAGUCGGAUGUGAAAUCCCUGAGCUUAACUUAGGAAUUGCAUUCGAUACUGGGAAGCUAGAGUAUGGGAGAGGAUGGUAGAAUUCCAGGUGUAGCGGUGAAAUGCGUAGAGAUCUGGAGGAAUACCGAUGGCGAAGGCAGCCAUCUGGCCUAAUACUGACGCUGAGGUACGAAAGCAUGGGGAGCAAACAGGAUUAGAUACCCCAUAGUCCCUGUCUCUUAUACA
rnacentral:rRNA from 1 species